CCUACGGGUGGCUGCAGUGGGGAAUAUUGCACAAUGGGGGAAACCCUGAUGCAGCAACGCCGCGUGAGUGAAGAAGUAUCUCGGUAUGUAAAGCUCUAUCAGCAGGGAAGAAAAUGACGGUACCUGACUAAGACGCCCCGGCUAACUACGUGCCAGCAGCCGCGGUAAUACGUAGGGGGCAAGCGUUAUCCGGAUUUACUGGGUGUAAAGGGAGCGUAGACGGUGGGGCAAGUCUGAAGUGAAAGCCCGGGGCUCAACCCCGGGACUGCUUUGGAAACUGUCAGGCUGGAGUGCAGGAGAGGUAAGCGGAAUUCCUAGUGUAGCGGUGAAAUGCGUAGAUAUUAGGAGGAACACCAGUGGCGAAGGCGGCUUACUGGACAGUAACUGACGUUGAGGCUCGAAAGCGUGGGGAGCAAACAGGAUUAGAUACCCCAGUAGUC
rnacentral:rRNA from 1 species